rnacentral:rRNA from 1 species
UACAGAGGGGGCAAGCGUUGUUCGGAAUUACUGGGCGUAAAGGGCGCGUAGGCGGCCUUCUAAGUCGAACGUGAAAUCCCCGGGCUCAACCCGGGAACUGCGUCCGAUACUGGAAGGCUUGAAUCCGGGAGAGGGAUGCGGAAUUCCAGGUGUAGCGGUGAAAUGCGUAGAUAUCUGGAGGAAUACCGGUGGCGAAGGCGGCAUCCUGGACCAUUACUGACACUGAACCGCGAAAGCUAGGGGAGCAAACGGG